CGUCCGCCAAGAUUAUGUCACUUUCCUUUUAUGGCAAUGGUCCCACCAUCCUCUUUAAUAUUUUAUUCUUACUAACACUCUUUAUUUACAAAAAAACCACUCAAAAUUCAAUCUCAACCACUCAUCUCAUAAAGUGGUGGGACCUUUUCUCCACUACAUCAAAAUCAUCACCAAUUUUAUUAAAUCUCGUGCCCAAGCAAAUUGCCAUAAUCUUGGCGGACGGAGGGAG
rnacentral:lncRNA from 1 species